rnacentral:rRNA from 1 species
UACGAAGGUGGCAAGCGUUGUUCGGAUUUACUGGGCGUAAAGGGAGCGUAGGUGGUGGGGUAAGCCCCGCGGGAAAGCUCCAGGCUUAACCUGGAAAGGUCGCGGGGGACUGCUCCGCUUGAGGACGGGAGAGGAGCGCGGAAUUCCCGGUGUAGCGGUGAAAUGCGUAGAGAUCGGGAGGAAGGCCGGUGGCGAAGGCGGCGCUCUGGAACGGCCCUGACACUGAGGCUCGAAAGCGUGGGGAGCGAACGGG